rnacentral:lncRNA from 1 species
GUCCAGCUUUGGCAAGGCACUGUUGGCUUUGUUUAUCUCCAUCAUCAUCCAAACAGACUACCAAUCCUGAUCCCAGCCCAAUCUUGGGCCCUUGAAAAAAUAACUUAACAUCCUAACUACAAGGGAGAAACUCCUUUCAAAUUAAUGAACCUGGCUGACUUAUAUAGCCUUAAAAUUAUGGAAAUGACAAGGGUUACAAUGUCAGAAUGAGCAGUAAACCUUCCCCAGUCCUAUCAGAGCAAACUUUCUGGGGUUGCAUCCCCUCAGAAACCCAUUUGGGGCCCAAUCUCAAUGCACAUAUCAGUGCGCAAAGCACUAAAAUUCCAGGCAACACUUUGUAUUGAGAGAAGCCAAAAUUUUGGUCCCGCCCUGGGACAUCUAAAGUCACCAAUGUAACUACACCAUACAGAUUAAACCCUCACAUGAUCAUGUAAGCUAUGCAGUUACCCAAGCUGCAUCAUUUAGAAAACCUGUACAGUUUUUAUGGAAACCAUCCCUAGUCAAGGACACUUUAAAUAUAUAGUCUAAAUACCGUUAAGGUAGGCCCACUAGCUGUGUUCACAUUUUCCCUUGGCCACCUUACCAGGGACUUUAAUAACUUGGGAAAGUGAAAACAACAAGCUAACCCACAUGUUCACCAUAGAAAACAAUUUUGUCUUGAAAAACAAGGACUCUUUUUCCCGUGUGGGACCAGUUCCUACUUAUGUUUUACCAGCCAAUUGGACUGGAACCUAUACAGUUGUUUAUUUAGCCCCCGAAAUUAAUAUAGCUCCCAACAACCAAUCCUUCAUUAUACUUUUAACUGCAACCACCAGACACAAAUGAGCCAUCCAACUGAUACCACUUUCGGUAGAGCUAGGAAUAACAGCAGGAGUAGGAAUGAGAGUUAGCAGCCUUGCAGUUUCCCUAUCCUAUUACCAAUGCUUGUCCAAGGAUUUUAUGGAAAGCUUAGGUGACAUUGCCCAAAAGUAUCAUCACCUUACAAAAUCAGAUAGAGUCUUUGGCAGUGGUGGCUUUGUAAAAUAGAAGGGGACUGGAUCUCCUAAAUGCUGAAGAAGGUGGCUUAUGUCUUUUUCCUAGAGGAAGAAUGCUGUUUUUAUGUCAACCAAACAGGAUUAGUAAGGGAUGCCACCCAAAAACUAGCCGAUUGGUACCAUAAGAUAUGACAACAGCUGUCUGAGUCAUGGGGCGCCUAGUCAAAAUGCUAAUUUGGGGCUCACAUCUCCUUCCUCUGGCCAGUCCACUAUUAAUUAUUAUACUUGCCUUGGCUUUUGGAUCAUGUUUGUUAAAUCUUUUAACCAGAUUUAUUUCUUCUUGCCUAGAGACCAUUAUGAUAAUGCAGCAGGGCCACCAGUCAGUUUCAGAUAAUGAUGUCAACCCCGGCCACCAAGAAGUAACCUUGUCUCCACUAGACAGAGCAGGUUGCAGGAAUUUAGCCAAUUCAGAGGUCUUGUUCUCCAUAAUUUGGAAUUUUCCUUCGGAUUUGAUCAAGUUGGAUAGAGUUGGUCAAACCCAAUGGGAAAAAGAUGAAAACAACAAGAAACAGAAACAAACAGCAACAACAACAACAACAAAAACAGUUAAGUGAAACAAACAAACAAUCACACAAUUUAUGUGGUCACUGAGUGCUCUAAUAGUAAGGAGAAAUUAAGACCAGCUGGCUGUUAGUCUUAACUCUAGCCAAGACAAAACUCCAAUUCAGCUACUUACCUAGUAAUGAGUCUCAGGCUGAAGUCUGCUCUCUCCCAUCCUAGAAGCAGGAAAAAACUGAAACUCAUCUUCCCUGCUGGAAACGAGCUCAAACUCCAGAAAGGAGUUACCUGCCUUCCAUCAUCAUGGACGCAGGAAAAUUUGCCUUCCUUGUUGGAAGCAAGUAAAACUCCAAAAAAGGAGUUGCACAGCAAAAUAAACUUCAGAUCUCAACAAAUUUGGGGAGAUCAGGGAUUCUCUGGGGGUGG